rnacentral:rRNA from 1 species
AGUCGAGCGAACAGAUAAGGAGCUUGCUCCUUUGACGUUAGCGGCGGACGGGUGAGUAACACGUGGAUAACCUACCUAUAAGACUGGGAUAACUUCGGGAAACCGGAGCUAAUACCGGAUAAUAUUUUGAACCGCAUGGUUCAAUAGUGAAAGACGGUCUUGCUGUCACUUAUAGAUGGAUCCGCGCCGUAUUAGCUAGUUGGUAAGGUAACGGCUUACCAAGGCAACGAUACGUAGCCGACCUGAGAGGGUGAUCGGCCACACUGGAACUG